CCACUGUGGCAUUCACUUGCG
rnacentral:miRNA from 1 species